GGGGAACACGUUUCUCCCAGCCCCCUCCCCCCCGCAUCCCCCCAGCUGCUCUCGCAGGCGGCUCUGCUUCCGGCUCGGUAGCUCGCCGCAGGAGUUCUCCGGCAUCCCGAAGAGCGCGGAGCACGGCAGUGAGCGAAGGUCUUUGGAACCAGAGGAGGAGCAUGAACCUAAGGGGCGAAGGGAAAACCGGGCUCAAGUUGAAUUUGUUUUAUUGAAGGGAGUAUACUCAGAUGUGCCCUUGCCCAUGUGGGCAUGCAGCAGAGGCACACACGUGUUGCUGUUACCUGCCUUCCUCACAUUGCCCCCAGACAGCCCUGCACAGCGUGGCCAGCACUCUGGGCUUCCUGCAACACACAGUGAAAGCUGAAGGCAGAAACAAGUCCUCUGCAUUUCCUUCUCAUCUCUCAUAUAUAAGUCCAGGUGAAGCCAGGCGCUGCUGGUCCGGUCCGGAGCUCCACUCUCACUUCCUCUUCGCGCCAAGUCCUCCCCAGGGAAGCCGCACCUCCCCUCCCACCAGGAUACUCCAAAUGCCCAUAAGGGGCAGUAAACGGAACCAGAACAUUAACUCUUUAACUCCCACUGGUUCACAUGAUGUUCUGAUAUGGAAUACUGACCACAAAAAUCACCAAACCACAACAAUGCAAGGACUCAAAUCCCAGCUAAAAAUACACGUUACUGAGAUCCAUUAUAUAAUUUCAGGGUAAUUAUUAUUUAUUUAUUUACUUUGCAAAGCGAUUUCACC
rnacentral:lncRNA from 1 species